GGGUCAGUAGGUUGGUCAUGCCACUGGUAUGUACUGGUCUCACUGAUUCCUCCUUCCUGAUGAGCUGUAAUGCCAUUAAUUUGGUGUUGCGGGGAAUCCGGACUGUUACUUUGAAAAAAUUAGAGUGUUCAAAGCAGGCCUUUGCCUGAAUACAUUAGCAUGGAAUAAUGAAAUAGGACGUUCGAUCCUAUUUUGUUGGUUUCUAGGAUUGACGUA
rnacentral:rRNA from 1 species